rnacentral:rRNA from 1 species
GCACUGAAAGGAUGUUAAUUCUAUCUUUAUUUAUUAUUUUAGUAAGAAUACUUUUAAGUCCGUCUUUUAAGAGAUGUUAGAUCUAUUAUCCGAAACAAAAGUUUAUUGUAACUCGCCUUAAUUACUUUCCCAUUGGCUGCACUUUGAUUUGUAUUACACCCGGCAAUAGGGGUACAGGACUUACCUUAAGGUAAGUCCUGGACAACGGUAUACAAGCUUUAAAGGUAAGUAGUAUUUACUUGGUGGUUGUCAAUUACAUGGUAAGUUCCCCUAAAGUACUUCAUUCAGCCGCCAUAAUAUUUAAGUUUGAACCUUAUAUUAAGUAUUAGUCCUUGUUUUAUUAAAUUUAAUCUCCAUAUAGUUGGGUAUCUAAUCCAGGUUUAUAUUGCGGAGUUUGAUUCUCUAAGAGUAUAGUGUAAGUUAUAAGCAUUAAUAGUAUUUCACUACAUAUUAAACUUUUUAUAUAAUAAAGCUAAUAAACAAUAACUAUAAAUUAGCCUAUUAGGUUUGACCGCGGUUGCUGGCACCUAAUAAACCUAGACUUUAAAUUAGCUAAAUUUAAAUUUCUUUAAUUUAUUAAUAUUUUUAACUGAGAAGUUGCCUAAAGCUCAUAUUAAACUAGACUGUACACUUAUAGUUUCAUCAUAUUAAAGUGAUUUGCUCUAAGGGGGUAUAAACCAUUUUAGA